rnacentral:lncRNA from 1 species
AGAGCAGGAUCGAUGGGGAAGGGAGAUGCUAAUUACGAUUCAUCAGCGGAUGGGAUGGGUUGGAAAUCCGUAUAGUUAAAAUAAUGGCGGAAAUGCUCAUUUCACAACGGAAUUCAGAGCUAUGCCCGAGUCCAACGAGGGCGAUGGUCCUGCAGGGAGAGUGCUCAAUGAGAUUCAAUCAGAGAGGGUGGACAUGGGUUUGGCGGGCCUUUACAACACGGUGGAUCGGAUCGAUGACGUCAUAUUCUCAUCUCCGCAUACGCAAGAUUGUGCUUCUUUGUCACGCUUACAUCUACGUCCGUUGACAGGUAACACGCGGUGGCGAGGCGUGAUUGAUCGAUUAUCGAUAUUUCCCCAUUUGAAGCUACGGUAAAGAAUCGAUUAUUAUGGUGUUCGUUGCGAGCACCCUGUUAAUCCUUUUUCAUAGAAUUAAAUGGCAGAUCAAUCGAUAUGUGGCAAAUCACGCCACGCCACCGGUAAAACGGAACAGUGAAAAUCAUCGCUAGCAAGAGACUUUUUUUUUUUGAUCACUUUAAAACAAUGAGCAACAACUGGAGUUUUAUAGCCCUAUUUUCUGGAGAAAUAAUCGGAAACAAUAUAACGACGAUGAAACUGCAAAAACGCGUAUCUCGGUUGCGGGGUUCCGAAAUCUCUGCUACUGUUUUAAUUUUUUAAAAGGAGACCAAAGCAACAUUAUAUUUGUCAAUUUGUCACAGAAUAUUCCUCAUGAAGAGAAGAAAAAAUCCCUUUAAUAUUGAAAAAAUGACGUUCUGUAGUUUUCCUUGUAGAAAAUAAAGUAUGACAGGAGGUCUGCAACACCGCAAAGCGAGAUACAUAUUUCAGCAAUUGGACGUAUUUCUGCCAAACGUCAAUGUGCAUUAUGAGUGGGCCCUGAUAUGCAUGUAUUCUUAUGGUUCUCAGGGCUCAUGUCUUAAUGCACAUAGUUCCGUUUGGCAGAAAUACGUCCAAUUAUCGACAAGUUAAGUAUCAAAUUUGAUGAAACUGUUCAACCUUGACAUUGGGGCUAUAUUGGUAUUAUACAUUUUCCUUGGUAUGCCAUCCACACGAUGAAUUGAGGGGCUUAUAGGACAAGAUGGACAAGUGCUGUUUUGAAAAAAAUUGAGAUAUCAUAUCCUGCAAAACAUUUGCUCCCAAAUUUCAAUUUUAAGCAUCAAAAAGUCAAUUUGAACUUUCUUUCUGCAUAAGGAUCCAUGUAAUUUCGAAACUUCAAACAAUCAUUUCUCGAAAUAGCAAAAACUGCACUUAUGCGCCUAGUGCUCAAAGCGCCUCAAUUUUGGUAGUUUCUCAGAAAGGAUUGAUCGUGUCGUGAGUCAAAAGCUGACAGUGCUAACUUUCCUCCUUUCGAUUAA